rnacentral:rRNA from 1 species
GACAGGGGAUGCAAGCGUUAUCCGGAAUGAUUGGGCGUAAAGCGUCUGUAGGUGGCUGAUUAAGUCUGCCGUCAAAUCCCAGAGCUCAACCCCGGCCAGGCGGUGGAUACUACUAAGCUUGAGUACGGCAGGGGCAGAGGGAAUUUCCGGUGGAGCGGUGAAAUGCGCAGAUAUCGGAAAGAACACCAAGGGCGAAGGCUCUCUGCUGGGCCGAAGCUGACCCUGAGAGACGAGAGGUAGGGGAGCAAAUGGG